UGUAUUUUACUCUACUGUUUGGGGAAAUACGUAUGACAGGAUGUAAGUGAUAAGAUGUUUCACAUUAAUCACAACCCAUGACAGUUACAAGAUACCUGGAUUUUAGCUGUCAUAGCUGCUUGUUACAGUAGAUUACAUUCAGUCACUUGCAUGCAUAUGCACACUAUAUUGAGAAUGAUUUAGGCCAGGUGGUGGCAUAUAUUUAAUCUCAGCACUCAAGGCAGAUCUCUGUGAGUUGGAGGCCAACCAGCCUGGUCUACAGAGCUAGUUCUAGAACAGCCAAGGCUAUACAAAGAGACCCUGUCUCAGUAAACAAAAGAGUGAUUUAGAGAAGGACUGAAUAUCAGUACUUAAAAGGUUUUAAGUACAAACAUACUUCAGAAGCUGACCUAAGAGAUCCUGGCUAUCUAAUUAUAAAAAAUGGAGCUGGGAAUGGUGGUUGUGAUGGUUUGUAUAUGCUCAGCCCAGAGAAUGGCGCUUUUAGAAGGUAUGACCUUGGAGUAGGUGUGGUCUUGUUAGAGUAGGUGUGUCACUGUGGACAUGGGCUCUAAGACCCUCAUCAGAGUGCCUGGAAGUCACAUUUCUCCUAGCAGCCUUCAGAUGAAGAUGUAGACCUCUCAGCCCCUCCUGCACUAUGCCUGCCUGGAUGCCGCCAUGCUCACACCAUGAUGAUAAUGGACUGAACUUCUGAAAUUGUAAGCCAGCCUCAAUUAAAUGUUGUCUUUAUAAGAGUUGCCUUGGUCAUGGUAUCUCUUCACAGCAAUGCAAACCCUGAGUAAGAGCAUGGUACAUAAUGGUAAUGUCAGCACAAGAGUUUGAGGCUAGAGUGGGCUGCCUAAGGCUUUAAUGGCAUAGAAUAUAAUUUCAGGGCAGGAGAUUAUUAUACAAUCUUGUUGUUGUUUUUGUUUGUUUGUUUGUUUUGUGUUUUGUUUUGUUUUGUUUUGUUUUGUUGGUCUUUUUGAGACAGGGUUUCUCUGUAUAGCCCUGGCUGUCCUGGAACUCACUUUGUAGACCAGGCUAGCCUCGAACUCAGAAAUCCGCCUGCCUCUGCCUCCCGAGUGCUGGGAUUAAAGGUGUGCUCCACCACACCCAGCAUUAUUAUACAAUCUUAUCUUUUGCAGAAGUUAAUUUUCUGAAGCACAUCUAGGAUUUUUUGUUUUGUUUUGUUUUUUUGUUUUUCUUCGAGGCAGGGUUUCUUUGUGUAGCCUUGGCUGUCCUCGAACUCACUCUGUAGACUAGGCUGGCCUCGAACUCAGAAAUCCACCACCUCUGCCUCCCAAAUGCUGGGAUUAAAGGCGUGUGCCAUCACUGCCCAGUCACAUCUAGGAUUUUUAAUACUGAUCUAGAAUUGUUUCAGGCACAGAAAGGACCUUUAGUAGGGGUCUAGGUCUAAGUUUUCUUUAACAUGGGUCAAGUGGAUAUUCACAUAUUUCUAUAUCAGAUAUUUAGAAGUUAAGCUAUUCUUGCAAUUAAGGAAAUUGACAUGGAUCCCUGUCUAAGCUGGGGUCCAUGUCAUUGCUCUUGGGUUUGUAGACAUACUGUGUAAACAAGGAUCAUCACUUUUCAUGGUUUAGCUGUGCUCUGUUUAUAUCAACAUUUAGUGUGGUAGAGGUGGGUGACUUUAGUUUGGUAUUUUCAGAGAGUAGAGAUCACUAAUGUGUUGGGUGAAGCAUGAUGUCACCUGCCUUUAAUCCCAGCACCCAGGAGGCAGAGGUAGGGGAAUCUCUGAGUUUGAGACCAGCCUGGUGUACAGAAGGAGUUCUAAGACAACCAGGAACUUCACAGAGAAACAAGGAAAAACAAGGGGAUGAAUCACUAAUGUGUUACUUUGCAGUUGAAUGUUUGUAUAAAGUUUGGUUGAAAACAUUUUUUAGUGUGCUUGUAUAACUGGGCUGCCACAGAGCAUUCCACAUGGGAUCCCUCACCUGCCUUCUAGAAACAGGUAAUCUGAGAGUGUGGUAUUUGCAGGUGUAGCUUUUCCCCAGGCCUGUCACCUUCCCUUGUAGAUAGUCGCUGUCUUUCUUUGUGUUUUGGAACAUUUCUGGUAUCCUCUCAUGUGUACUAGUCUGCCCCUAAAGAGAUACAUCAGACUGGAUUAGGGCCUGCCUAUCAGUUUCUUUCAACAUCAGGCGUUCAGAGCCUUUUCUGGAUCCUGUUUUUUUGAGGUAUUGGAGGUUAGGGUUUCAACAUGUAGAUUUGGGAUGGGCACUGAUUUGUAAGGAUAGAUACAUUCAGAACGUUCUCUUGUGCAACCGAAUGGUUGCCUGUGCUGAAGUGACUAUUCAGGGUGGUUUAUCAGACACUGCUUACUCAAGAAAGUCUGCCAAAGAGGGUAACUUUUAUUUUGUAAUGAAUAUAUAUUUAACCAAUCCCCUAGAACGAGAUGACAAAUGCAACACACUGAUUAGAUUUGUGACUUCUGUUUUAUUAUGUUCAAUAAAGUAUAUGUCUACUUGUCGAUAUCUGGGAGGCAUUCUCACAGUGAGAAGAGCCAUCCCUCUGAGGAGAGCUCUAGGACAGCUUUAUUUUGUACUAUCUAUGGUAAUGGAGGAGUUGCUAUGGGAUUGGAUGCGAUUGGAUGCAGGGUGCCGAGCAUGUCCUCUGGCUGCCACUGAGUUACAUUCCUACCCCUACACAUUCACUCAGAGCUUUUUUAAUUCUAAUGACAAUGACUGGAAAGAAAAGAUAAAGACUUACAGUAUUUAUCAAAAUGACAGUUUAAAGUAGAGAUAGUCAUUGUUUAUCAGGCUGUGGAUAGAACAUGAGUACUACAGAGUUCUGACUUUCUUAGGAGAUCAGAAUGGUUACCAUUAGAACCUCUAUUACAGUCUACUCAUUUCUCAUAAGUUAUAUUAAAAUGAGAGACUCAUUGCUCAAAUUGAUAUACAUUAGAGAACAUUUUACC
rnacentral:lncRNA from 1 species